rnacentral:rRNA from 1 species
CCCUUAGAUGUUCUGGGCAGCACGCGCGCUACACUGGUACAAUCACUAAGUUUCUGAGUAGUUAUGCUUGGGCAAUCUUGAAAACUGUACCGUGACAGGGCUUGACUGUUGAAAUUUUCUGUCACUAACGAGGAAUUCCUAGUAAAUGUGGGUCAUGAACUCACGUUGAUUACGUCCCUGCCCUUUGUACACACCGCCCGUCGCUCCUACCGAUUGAAUGUUCCGGUGAAUUCUUCGGAGUCUGCGGUAUCAAUGUUUCAUUAUACCAUAGGCGAAGUUGCGUAAACCUUAACAUUUAGAGGAAGGAGAAGUCGUAACA